rnacentral:rRNA from 1 species
AGAUCUGAUCUUCGAACGACUCUCGGCAACGGAUAUCUCGGCUCUCGCAUCGAUGAAGAACGUAGCGAAAUGCGAUACUUGGUGUGAAUUGCAGAAUCCCGUGAACCAUCGAGUUUUUGAACGCAAGUUGCGCCCCAAGCCUUUGGGCCGAGGGCACGCUUG